AGCCAUGAGAUAAACACAUAGCGAACUAUUCUUUCGCCUUUUACUAAAGAAUACCGUGUGUUUGUCUCAUUAAGUGGCAUACGCCUAUUUUUGGAAGAGUCCCUUCUCAUAGGACUCU